UUUAAUUGACUCCGACACAAGAAUUUUAACCUGUCGUCAAUAUUCAAUGACAGCCACUCGUUGUCCUUGAAUAUCAUUCGCAUAUAUGAUUGGUUGUUUAAGAUUUGCUUCGACAUCGGUAUAUAAAGCAACAACUUUUGAAAAUUCCCGUCACUCUUGGUGGAACUUUGGAAUAAGUUAACUCCUCUUCUUUCUGACCAGUUAUGUUGAAACAUUUUGGGACUUGCCUGACAGCUUGCAGUUACUCAAAGUGGAACGUUAUGCAAAGAAAAAGCGUGUUAGAUGGAGGAGUGUUUUGGCAGAGAAGCUGAGGAGCCAUCUUUGAGUAUACACAGCUAUUCAUGCCCUGAGAAUGGAACGAAAUAUGUCUCUUAGUGAAGGUAAUAUUUGUUUGAUACAAAACGGCAUUUUUGGAUUCAGGAGUUCCUGUAAUUGGUAUAUGUCCCAGACCUUGUUAUGAUCAUAUCUGCGUUUUAGUUUGCAUUCAACUAUGCGGUUAAACUUGUGAAUUUUUCUCAAAACAUGUACAGUUUGGUAUAGCUUCCAGACUGUGUUCUUAACUAACGCUCUCAUUAGCGACUACUUCGAUCAUAUUGGAUCUCCGCUAACUUUUACAGUUCAGUUGAUUUAUAGAUAUGGUUUUGAUAUUUUGACAUUCUCUGUUUGUUUUCUUACUCACUGUGACAAUGAGCGUCUAUUACUAGUGUGAAAUUAUGCAUCGAACAUCUUCUUUAGUUUAGUUUUUCUUUUUACUGUAAACUAGUAAAAGAUUACUAUAACAUGAUUGAGAACCAACUUAGCAUAUCUUCUACGUUUUCUGAGUAGUGUAUUUAUUAUUUUCAGUUAGCUUGGGGCAAUAAUAAUCUCAAACAUUCCUUAUUUUUAAAAUUACAAAAAAGGUAAUAAUCCACAAAUUGAAUUCUGAAAUUUGUUUCUGUUUUAAAACUUUUUAUUCUAUGGCAGUUAAAUUGUCACAAAAGUUUUACCCAGUUUAAAAUUAUUUGAAUUUAUUCUAACAAAAGUUGGGUCGACUAAAUCCCACUUAUAACAUAAUUCUUUUAGUAAUUUUAAAAAAUAAACUACCCAGUAAAAAAGAGUUUAGUAGUUCCAACGAUUCUUGAAUACAUGCAUCAAUAUUCACCCAACUUAGUGUAUGUUUGCGAUCAGUCUAACACUUCUUACUAUAAUUUCUACGUUCUACCUUUUUUUUGGACCAGAAAAUACUGUUUUAGGGAAGUCAUAUUUUGAAAACUUCUAAAUUAAAAGAAAACCCGCUCAGCAACAAUAUAAUAAACUAAUAUUUCCAUUAUAACAUUAUUAUUUGAAGUUAUUAAAUCAAUUUUAUUUUUCUUGUAAAUGUCAAAAUAUCAUCACCUAUUUAUUAUACUCAUCACUAACUAAUUUUACUUUCAAACUCUUCUUUGAAUAUUUCGACGUUGGCUCCACAUACUUUUGGAGUACAAAUAUUUCAGUAUAAGGUACGUAGAUACAUUCAUAGUUCAUAAUUGAGAAAUGAUAUUUUACACACAUAAAUAUUUUAUAUUUAUUUAUCUUAUUAUUUUUUAUUUUUUUAAAAUAUAAAAUUACUUUUUUAUGUUAUUUUUUUUAUAAUAUAUGUGAAAUAAAUAUAAAUGUACCUAUGCUUUUAAAGAUUUUAUCCCACACAAUGCUUUUUAGGCGUUGAGCUACCAGAUUUAUCGUAUCCUCAUACAGCUAUGUAAGUUUGACUUCUGAUAGAAUGACUGCAUUAACAAGUAAUAAUCCAGAGUUUAGCUAAAAACGUGUUAUCUCAAUAGGUACAGUGGUAAGAUUAACUCAAAAAAUUUAUUUUUUAAACUUGGAUAAACUUUGACCCGACUCCAACAUAAAUACUUUCUUUCCUUUUUUUAAUUGUAGUUUUUUUCUAAUAAAAACAUGUUUAUCUUUAUUUAUCAUUUUCUAAAUUUUAAGUAAAUAUGUAUUUUAAAUUAUAAUUUAAUUUAAUUGAUUUGAAAUAUAUAUAUAUAUAUAUAUAUAAUUAUGAUUAUCUUAAAAUAUAUUUAAGAUGUAAUUUGAUAACAUAAUUUUUUUAGUUCUUUUUAUUAUGUGUUAGAAAACUUGUGUAGGAUGCUUUAAAAUAUACUUAUAGCUAACAAUAACAAGAAUUAAAUCCAAUAAUUCAAAUUAAGUAGAGUAAUGAAUUAAUAUUUUUCUUUUUACAUAUUUUUCACCUUUCUUAUUUUUAUUUAAUAUAAAACUUAGAGUCGUAUUUGAAUAUAAAAAUCAUACCCUAUUUAUCUAAAUUGGACCAUGAAUGGGGUCAUAUUACUAAUAAAUUUUUCAAAAGAUAAAUUUAACAAAUAGACGUGCAUGAGCCAAUUCAGGAGAUUAUGUAAAGUUUGUUAUAUUGAUUUAGAGGGACUCAGUAUAAUUAAAUCUCCUGUACGAAUCAAUAGAUCUAUCAAACUAUAAAUGAUUCCAAAUUGUUGCAUUAUAUUUGUCAUUUUCUUGUUAUUUAUCGAAAUAUAACAAAAACAUUGAAAUGAAUCCCUCAAAAGCACAUAUAGGGUCAAACCCAUAAGAGAUUUUUCCAUAAUAAUAAUGGUAUAGCUCUUACAGACUAACGCAAUCCAGUACGAGUUCGCAGGCUACUUAACUCGUUUCCGAGUUAUUUUACGAAGCAUUUCCUAUAAAGUGCAGAUAUGACAGAAUAUAUGUUAACUCUUAGGAAACAAAAAAAAAAAUAAUGGAUCUUUAGAAACAAGAAAAAUAUACAAAAAAAAAAAAAAUAUUCAUUUGUUUACUUUUCUUGGAUUGAUUGAGUCGUAUAUUUCCCAAUUAUAAAAGCCUAAACUCAUACUAAAUUUUGAUCAUAGAGUCGUGUCCACUCGAACGAGAAAAACUGAUGAAAGAAGACACGCGCAUAUAGAUGAUGGUUUUCAGUCAAU
rnacentral:lncRNA from 1 species